GACGAACGCUGGCGGCGUGCUUAACACAUGCAAGUCGAACGGAAAGGCCCUGCUUUUGUGGGGUGCUCGAGUGGCGAACGGGUGAGUAACACGUGAGUAACCUGCCCUUGACUUUGGGAUAACUUCAGGAAACUGGGGCUAAUACCGGAUAGGAGCUCCUGCUGCAUGGUGGGGGUUGGAAAGUUUCGGCGGUUGGGGCUGGACUCGCGGCUUAUCAGCUUGUUGGUGGGGUAGUGGCUUACCAAGGCUUUGACGGGUAGCCGGCCUGAGAGGGUGACCGGCCACAUUGGGACUGAGAUAGGGCCCAGACGCCUACGGGAGGCAGCAGUGGGGAAUAUUGCACAAUGGGCGGAAGCCUGAUGCAGCAACGCCGCGUGCGGGAUGACGGCCUUCGGGUUGUAAACCGCUUUCGCCUGUGACGAAGCGUGAGUGACGGUAAUGGGUAAAGAAGCACCGGCUAACUACGUG
rnacentral:rRNA from 1 species